CUGGACUACGGAGACUCCCAAACUACAGUAGCUACAAUCUGCUGGUAAAAGAAAUAUAGCUGCGAAGAUAUCGCCAUCCGGCUCCAGCACUCUGUGAUAAAAUUGUGAUACCACAUGCCGAGCAUUCAUUGCUUGGAAGUAUCGAAUAUCCUUCGAGGCGUUUGUGACUAAUCCAAGAAACGUCAUAACGAUUGUUGCUGCUUUGCUGAUUGUCACUAAUCGUAAGCCAGCCAAGAGAUUCUCUCUACUACAAGAAAUAAAUUUCUGAAAACUGCUCUAGCAGCAAGAACUGCUGUGAUAACAACAGGUGGUUGACAAAAACGCGAAUAAGUUCGUCCGGAAGCGUGAAACUCC